CCACACCCUGGAAUCUGGCAGGCCUGAGUUCACAUCCUGCCUCUAUCAUUUGCUAGCAGUUUGGUACUAGACUUUUCUGUGCCUCAGUUUCCUUAUUUUCAAGACUAAUGAGCUAAUGUGGGGUGGGAGGGGGUCAUGUCCAUCAGAGUGUCUAGAGCAGAGUGGACACUCAUUAAAGUAUUCCUUUUGGGAAUCUCUGGUGGAACUUUGAGAUUCAUUCAUUCUGCUGACAUUUGCUAAACCCCACACUGUGCCAAACAAUGGCUGGGGGCUGAGGAUGCCACAACGAGGAAGGCAGAUCUGGUCCAGGCCCCUGAGCAGAAAAUGAGCCAACAGACAAUCAAAUAAACAAAAUAAGAGAAAUCCAGUGGGCGAUAAGAGUUCUGAAGAAAAGCAAGCAAGGUACGGGGUUGGAGAGAGAUGAGGUGAUGGGGGUGCAGUGCUCCCUUAGGAAAGGUGUUCAGGGAAGGUCCUGCCCUCUAAGGUACCUCAGCCUCCCAGUCCAUGAUUCUUCAACCCAAAAGUUCUCAACUGGGGCUGAUUAAUAAUCAUGAAUAUUGAUCAGUAAUGAUUAGUGAUUAUCAUUGAUAAUUGAUGUCUAGGGACAUUAUUAUUACUGGGUAAGGAAGUGGUGGCUAGUGGGGUCUAGUAGAGUAGAGGUCAGGAAUCCUGCUAAACAUCUAUAAUGCACCUACAAUGCACAAGACAGCCCCCAAAACAAAGAGUAUCCAGCCCCAAAUGUCAACAGUUCUGAGGCUGAGAAAUCCUGAUCUAGCCCGUUACCUUGUGUUAUGUUUUUCAUGAUCCUUGGCAGAGUUGGUGGUGGUGGAAAUACCCCUGGUGGAAGGGACCUGGCUUAUAGACCCCCCAGCAUUGUGGCCUGUGAUGGGGUGACAUCAGACUGCAAGCCUCCCAGCCACUGCCAUCUCCCGGGUCUACAGGCAUGCAGCAAUGCCUACCACUCACACGGCGAGCACUGUACAUGCUGGCUUCAUACCCUAGCCCUCCAAGGCUGGGGUUACUCCAAUAAAGCUUAUUCUGCCUACCAGAAAUUUUUAAAAAAUCAAACCAAAUAGGAUUCUGGCUCUAGCCAGCUCUGGAGACAAUUGUAUUCAGAAAUACUUUCAGAAGAGGGCACUUGGAAUUCAAUAACACACUGUCAGAGUCCAAUCAGUGCACUCCCCCGCGCCCUUGCAAGUUCUACAUUCACAUCCAGUUAAAGGAAAAAAUCAAAAGCAGGAAGUGAUGUUGGUACCAACCGGCACAUAGGUGUGAGCAGGAAGUGACACCUGGCAGCCUGACGGUGAGGGAGGAAGAGCAAAGUCACAGAGGGAGAGAAGAAUUCAGAAAGCACAGCUGUCUAGGUGUUUGGCUGCUGACAAAUGGUUGCCUGCCCCUCACCUCACCAGCCUCUCCAGACACCUCUGCAUCACACAGCACUGAUGACCACUUCCCGGCCCAACACCCACUUGGCUUAUUCUGUGCCACCAGGCUCUGAUUUUGUUUGGGAGGUAAUGUGCUCAGCCCCAAGACUGGCCAAACUUAGCCCUCAGCAUCCCAUUCCUCCUUGCCAGUGGUUUUUCUAGGAUUAGACCUGGGGCCCUGUUCUGGUCAGUAAAAUGUAAGGGUGAAUUAGCUCAGGAAUGUCUGAGAAAGAUUCUCCUCUGUGAUAAAGCAGAGAGUCACAUGACUAGAAACUCUUUUUGUUGUUGUUGUUUUACCACCACCCCUUCCUUCCUGCUUUGGAAAUGGGUUUAUGAUGUGAUGCUUGGAGCUGUGGCAGCCGUUUUGUGACCAUGAGGGAAGGCUUCUCCAGUGUGCUAGGAUUCAGGGGAGGAAAUACAGAAUGAAUGUCAGUCCUCGAUGACACUGCUAAGCCCUAAACCAACUCUGCGAACUUAAGACUUUCUGUUCUGUAAGAAAUGAGAUUUAUUUAUUGUUUAAGACUCUGUUGGGUAUUCUGUUAUCUGUGGCCCAAAGUAUCUCAAAUAAUAUAAUUUCUUUUUGUAAUAAUACAUCUCAGAUGGACAUCCCCCAGAGUCUAAGACUUUGACAGACACCUGUGAUCCCAGCACUUUGGGAGGCCAAGGUGGGUGGAUCACUUGA
rnacentral:lncRNA from 1 species